UGGGGAAUAUUGGACAAUGGGCGCAAGCCUGAUCCAGCAAUGCCGCGUGUGUGAAGAAGGUUUUCGGGUUGUAAAGCACUUUCGGUGGGGAGAAAGGGUCCGUUCCUAAUAUGAACGGAAGAUGAUGUUACCCACAGAAGAAGCACCGGCUAACUCUGUGCCAGCAGCCGCGGUAAUACAGAGGGUGCGAGCGUUAAUCGGAAUUACUGGGUGUAAAGGGUGCGUAGGUGGUUGCAUCAGUUAGGUGUGAAAGUCCUGGGCUUAACCUGGGGAUUGCGCCUAAUACUGUGUAGCUAGAGUACUGUAGAGGAAAGUGGAAUUUCCGGUGUAGCGGUGAAAUGCGUAGAUAUCGGAAGACACCAGUGGCGAAGGCGGCUCACUGGACGUGUAUUGACGCUGAGGUACGAAAGCGUGGGGAGCAAACAGGAUUAGAUACC
rnacentral:rRNA from 1 species